rnacentral:lncRNA from 1 species
GAGAGAAAAAAAAAAAAAAUUAUAUUUUUUUUAAAAAAAAUUAAAAAUAUUUUGAGAACAUUAUGAACUUACGACAUUAAUAGAGAAAACGAAAUAAUCAAAUUAUUUUUAUUUAUUUUAUAAAAGUAAAUAAAAUUUUGAGAUAUUUUUAUUAUUUUAAGAUUAUUUUAGUGUAAAUUAUAAGAAAUAGACGGAUAGUGACAAAGAUAGAAAGAGACUAAAUGUUUAAAGUUAAAAUUUUGAAGUAAUAAAAUAUAAAUUUUUUUAAAAAGUCAAAGCAGAUAUUUACGAUAAAAUUUUCUUUAAGAUUUUUUGUAUUUUAAUCAAGAAAAAUUAAAAAUAUGUGAAAUUCACCCUCAACAAUAGGCUGAAAUCGACGACUUAUCUAAAAUAUGAACUAUUUUGAGUCAAAUCUAAGAAAACUUUAGUUUUGCAUUUUAUUUUUUUAAUUUGUUUAAUUUGAGUUAGUUAAUAAUAUUUUGACUUCAAGAAUUAAAUACGUUAUUUUUUUUUACAAAUUUAGUUAGCAUACUUUAUGCACUUCUCCUAACUAUAAAUUCAGUAAAGUAAAUAAUUAGCUUAAAAUUUUAAAUCAAAAUAUUGUUAACAGAUUGAAAUCAAAUAAAUUGAAAGAUUAAAUAGUAAAAUUAAAAAUUAACAGAUUAGAUAGGUAGCCGAUUCAAAAUGAUUUAUAAUUUAUGUAAGUUCUGUACAUUUUGACCUCAAAGUAUGGUGUAAAUUUAAUAUUCUACCCAUUUUAAGAUUUGAAAUUUAAAUAUUUUUAGUAUUAAAAAGAUAAAAAUUUUGAUUUGUGAUGAUAAAAUUGACUAUUAGAGAAAGGAAUGUAAAAUUUACAUCCACUCUUGAGUGCACAGUAAUAUUAUUUAAACAAAUUCCUCGAUUCUAAUAAUUUUUUUAAAUACGUACCUUUCUAACUUAUAAUUCUUUAUUUAA